AUGGAGUCGCAUCUGGGCAGCAUGAUGUGGAGCACCACUGAUAUUUGGGAGCCCCUUUGGGACUGGAGUCUGAAUCCAGCCAAGCGGCUUCCAAUGCCAGGCUCAUACCAGAUCCACACUUGGAGCAGAGGAAGCCACAUUGUAGUGGACAAUAAGGGCUUCCUGGAAUUGACACUCACCUUGGAGGAUGUAGAGCCUCAGGCCAAGUCAGACAGCAGGGGCCUUAAAGGCCACAAAGAGUCUUUUGGCCUUUGGAUAGUUCAGUGCUACAUUCUCUUCACCAGCCUUUUCUUCUUACUUAACUUGCUGCUUCUGAUGCUGACUGGGAGCAGAUGCUCCCAGGCACUCAAGACCUUUUAUGAUCUCACUGUGACUGUAUGUCAGACAAAUUCUAGACUGACAGAGUAUCGCCUAUGGGGCUGGAACACACAGGAUACCUUCAGUGUUUGCCAGAGGGACUAUGGAGCAAACCGGACAGACUGGAUCGAGCCGCUGCAGGAAGCAGGGAACGAUGUCAAUGCUCCCACAGCCCCGGCUCCGGGCUCCGAGUGGGGAGGGCGAGCCCCACAGCCUGCCCUGCGACGGCUACCUGGGCAGCAGCGAAGAAGAGCUGAAGGCAGGAGCCGCCGCCAUGGGCAGUUGCCCCAACAGCUCCGGGACCCCCUGGCGCGGGAGCCGUGGUCUCGGUUACGGAUCCCGCGGGCUGCUCUGCUAAGUGCUGGUGCUGCUGAACCCGCGCUGGGGCCAGGGCAAGACCCUGCAGCUCUUCCGGAGUCACGUGCAGCUCGUUCUGGCUGAGGCUGAAGUCUCCUUCACGCCCAUGCUCUCUGAGUGGCGGAACCACGCGUGGGAGCUGGUGCGGUCGGCGGAGCUGGGCCGCUCUGGUAGUCAGGUCUGGGGACCGGCUGAUGCGCGGGUGGUGAAUCCGCUCAUGGAGUGGCCUGACUGGGAGGCCGCCAUCCAGGGCACCUGUGCAGCCUCCCCGCAGGCUCUUGGCAACGCGCUGGCAGCGUCCUCGAACCAUUAUGCUGGCUGGGAGCAGGUUACUGAUGGAGACCUCCGGACUAACUGCGUGCUGUUGCUGUGCCGCCGGCUGCUGUCGCCCCUGAACCUGCUGUCACUGCACAUGGCUUUGGGGCUGCGCCUCUUCUCUGUGCUCAGUCUGACCUGGGGCUUCAUUGCUGACGUGGACCUGGAGUGCGAAGUAUCGGCGCCUGGGGGAGAUACGCUUCACUCUGGGCAUCUUCCUGCUCCUGGCAGCCCUGCGCACCUACCACGGCCGACUGGCCUACCUCCCUGUAGGAAGAGCCAGCCCCAAGACACCCGUCUUUCCUGUGGUAGUCCAGCAGGACCGGGUAGAUGCACACCUUGUGCCACUGGAGGAGCCAGUGCCCUCUCACUGGACAGUGGUGCCCGAACAGGACUUUGUGCUGAUGUUGGCACUGCUGCACUAGCACCUGGGUAGCGAGAUGUUCCCGGUACCCACGGGCCGCUGUGCCGCUGUGCCGCCGGUGUCAUGCAUCUGUUCUGCGUCUGGGGAGGCUCAUCUUGGGCCAUGCUGCUGCGCCUCUUCCUGGCCAUGGAGAAGGGCAGGUAAUACCCCUACUUGAUAUAUGUGCCUGUGUGUUGUCGCCUUCGGCCUGGAGCCCAAGGAUGGGAGGGGUGUGUUUGCAGUGGACGGGGAAUUGAUGGUCAGCGAGGCUGUGCAGGGCCAGGUGCACCCAAACCACUUUUGGAUGGUCAGUGGUUGUGUGGAGCCCCCGCCCAGCCAGAAGCCCCAGAAGAUGCCACCUCCAGAAGAGCACUUAUGACCCCAGGCCAUGCUGUGCCUUAGUGUCUACCGGUAGGACACUUCCUCCUUCCCCAGGGCUGCAGGGCUUGGCCACAGCUCCUGUGGGGUGGAGGGGACUCCUCUGAAGAAGGGGAAGAAGGUGCAGGCUAUGCUUUGGGAGGACAGGCCAGAACAAGGUCCUGGGUCAGGAGUCCAGCUACCUGGGCCCAGUUGCCUGUGUAAGGUCCUCCAGUUUGCUCUGAGACCCCCACUCCAUGAACCAAAUUCAAAUAAAGUGACAUCCCCAGCC